ACCAAAUCUACGACGCUUUCUCCUCUUUAUACUGAACAGCAAUCAAAAAGCUGUGAAUCAUAAAAGAGAAACACCUCCGAGAUAAACUUUUUGUUAGAAGAAAAGAGAUGGGGUUGUCUUUCCCCCAUGUGCUUCGUUUAUUAUGUUUGAUUCUGCUCUUAUCUCAAGUCGCUUGCAGGAAUUCUCCCCCAUCACCACUGUGUGCACCUAUUCAGCUCUCAGCAUCACCACCUCCAGCUCCACGUCCACCUCCACCUCAAGGACGUUUUGCGGAUAUGCCAAGGCGGCCACCACCACCUCCCCCGGGAAGAUCAGGUCGUCCAUGAAAAUUUAGAGCAGAUAAGUUGGGAUUCCGGCUUCGGUUGAAACAAAUCCCUCUCACCAACAGCAAGUAAAUUUUAAGAUUGAUUUAGAAAUAAGGCUCGGUUCAUUCUCCCAAGAGGAAAUAAUUUGUAAGGCGCGAGAUAUGAAAUGAUGCCACGGCUUGCUUUUCUCAGUGAAAAUGUGAUAAUUAUUGAAUGAAUAACUUUACAUGAAGCAGUGAAUUGAUUUAUA